rnacentral:misc_RNA from 1 species
CGACCUGGCGCGCGACGGGAUCAUCCUGAUCGACGUACAGACUAUCGGCAUCCUGUACAGAUCGUGCGGAGGGGUCGGAAUGCGCAAGCACGAACCGCGCCAUGCGAUAGGCCAGUGUCGCCUUGCCGAUGCCCUGCGCGCCGCCGAUCAGCCAUGCAUGAGGAAUGCGACCACUGCCAUAGGCCGUCAGCANNNNNUGUCUGCUCGGCAUCCCGAUGACCGAAAAGGGCCGUCGUUUCACGCGGAGCGCGGAUAGAU